CCAGGCCGUUGGCCCCACCCAGAGUGGAGCUUCUCACCCACUCCCUCCCCUUCCUUUCUGCCGUCAGUCCCCCAAUAGUGUCACAAUAGUCCCCUAACAGUGUCCCACUGGCCAUCUUUGAUGACCAGGUGUGUAGCAGGUUCGAGCCCGGCUUGGAAGUUGUUUCUACUAUGAGCCAGGCACUGCCUGAGCACCUGGGUCCCACCAGUGAACAAAUAGACGACAGUCCCCGCCCCGGGGGACUAGCCUUUUCCUAGCAGGACACAGAACCCCAAACACUCACAGAAUAAAGAGGCGCAGCGGCUUACAUCUGUAAUCCCAGCACUUUAGGAGGCCAAGGCAGCAGACCACUUGAAGUCAGGAGUUCAAGACCAGCCUGGCCAACAUGGUUGAAACCCUGUCUCUACCAAAAAAUACAAAAAUUAGCUGGGUGUGGUGGCAUGCACCUGUAGUCCCAGCUACUCGGGAGGCUGAGGCAUAAGAAUCACUUGAACCCGGGAGACAGGGAUUGCAGUGAGCCAAGAUCAUGCCACUACAUUUCAGCCUGGGUGACAGAGUGAGACCUUGUCUCAAAAAAUAAUAAUAAUAAUUUUUAAAUGCAUAUUUUUGUGUAUGUUGCAUAUAUAUGAUAUAUAGAGAUAUAGCUUAUUUAGUAUAUAUUAUUUUCUAAUUAAUA
rnacentral:lncRNA from 1 species